AAAUGUGCAGAUGAUCUGGUUGGCUAGGUAGGGUUCCCCCAUCCUCCAUCACUCCCCCCAAGCUGCCCUCUCAGUUGAAGAGAAUGACUGUCUCUGAAUACAGGAAGACUGGUCUUCAGUCAAGGGUAUACAAGUAGCUGUGGUCCCCUGCUAGAACCUCCAAACAAGCUCUCAAAACCAAAAACUAAAAACCCAGAUCUGAUUCACAAUUUUUCAAGGAUUGUCCAAGUACAUGAUUUUG
rnacentral:snRNA from 1 species